AACGAACGCUGGCGGCAUGCCUAACACAUGCAAGUCGAACGAGACCUUCGGGUCUAGUGGCGCACGGGUGCGUAACGCGUGGGAACCUGCCCUUAGGUUCGGAAUAACUCCCCGAAAGGGGUGCUAAUACCGGAUAAUGUCUUCGGACCAAAGAUUUAUCGCCUUUGGAUGGGCCCGCGUUGGAUUAGCUCGUUGGUAGGGUAAAAGCCUACCAAGGCGACGAUCCAUAGCUGGUCUGAGAGGAUGGUCAGCCACACUGGGACUGAGACGCGGCCCAGACUCCUACGGGAGGCGGCAGUGGGGAAUAGUGGACAAUGGGCGAAAGCCUGAUCCAGCAAGGCCGCGUGAGUGAUGAAGGCCUUAGGGUUGUAAAGCGCUUUUACCCGUGAUGAUAAUGACAGUACCGGGAGAAUAAGCUCCGGCUAACUCCGUG
rnacentral:rRNA from 1 species